GACGAACGCUGGCGGCGUGCUUAACACAUGCAAGUCGAACGAAGAGCGAUGGAAGCUUGCUUCUAUCAAUCUUAGUGGCGAACGGGUGAGUAACGCGUAAUCAACCUGCCCUUCAGAGGGGGACAACAGUUGGAAACGACUGCUAAUACCGCAUACGAUCUAAUCUCGGCAUCGAGGAUAGAUGAAAGGUGGCCUCUACAUGUAAGCUAUCACUGAAGGAGGGGAUUGCGUCUGAUUAGCUAGUUGGAGAGGUAACGGCCCACCAAGGCGAUGAUCAGUAGCCGGUCUGAGAGGAUGAACGGCCACAUUGGGACUGAGACACGGCCCAGACUCCUACGGGAGGCAGCAGUGGGGAAUCUUCCGCAAUGGACGAAAGUCUGACGGAGCAACGCCGCGUGAGUGAUGACGGCCUUCGGGUUGUAAAGCUCUGUUAAUCGGGACGAAAGGCCUUCUUGCGAAUAGUGAGAAGGAUUGACGGUACCGGAAUAGAAAGCCACGGCUAACUACGUG
rnacentral:rRNA from 1 species